CGGUUAAGUCCGCUAACGAGCGCAACCCUCGUCGUAUGUUAUAUGUGUCAUACGAGACUGCCGGUAAAAAGACCGGAGGAAGGUGAGGAUGAUGUCAAGUCAGCAUGACCUUUAUAUCCAGGGCUACACACACGCUACAAUGGUCUGUACAAUGGGUAGCCAAGCCGCGAGGCGGAGCCAAUCCUGAAAGCAGGCCUCAGUUCAGAUUGCAGUCUGCAACUCGACUGCAUGAAGCCGGAGUUGCUAGUAACCGCAGGUCAGCAAUACUGCGGUGAAUACGUUCCCGGGUCUU
rnacentral:rRNA from 1 species